UCAUAUUACUGGUCAAAACUGACAGCAAGUAAAUCUAUAUUGGUAACAAAAGUGUUUGGUGUAAGAAACCGUGGAAGAUUCAUUGUAUGUAGUGUGUGAAUACAUACGUAAAUGCCAAUGUGUGCAUAAUGUAUAAACGCCAAAAUUGUGGUACAUCAAAAGGGGUGGCUCAUGUGACAAGAGUUGUGCAUCUUGUGACCCUCUUAAAUUAUUCGUAUCGUUUUCAAACAAACGAUCAUUGUAUGUUAGAUCAGAUCUCAAUUUUAUUUUUGAAACAUCCCAGUAUCAUUUAACCCCAAGAAAAAAUGCCAUUAAUUCGUUGUAGUAGAUUGGGAAAUUACUCAUUUUAUGUUUAAUAAAACUACAAAAUAACUGCUAUGCAUGCAUGAAUUUGAAACGCCAAGGCUCAGAAUUUCUGAACAAAAAAAGUUAUUUAUUUAAAAAACGGAAGACGCCAACAAAAAUUUGAAGAAUGCCUUAUCCGUUGGGACAGACUUGGACAGGUCCGUUAGAUUCCAACGGGGCGAAUCCGUAAAUGAGGCAGAGGACUAGAUACAAUACAGACGGCACUAACAAUGCCACGUGUCAAAAUGACAAAUGUUAAAGUGUGGGAUCUGUGGUCCACGUGUGAUGGAGUUGCCGGGAUACUAGGGUCGCAUGGGCACGUGUGAGGUGCCAGCUUGGCAUUAUUCUCAGUUUUUUUUUAAUUUUAGCUUAAAGAGAAAUUUUGAUAAAUAAAAGAAAAUAAAAAGCAGCCGUUGAGAAAGGUACGGUGUACCCACCGCUGCUUCUUUACCUCUUUUUCUAAUUUUGUUUGUGUUUUUUUUAAUUUUUAAUACAGUACUGUUUUGUCUGUUACUCUGCCACAUAUGUUAAGCUAGAAUAAUGCCACGUGUCACCAUUAUCUCUUCCAUGUUACGACUUGUGUCAUUGCACAUUAAGAGGAAAACUAUUUGGUUUCUUAUUCUUGGUAUGGAUUUAUACUCACCAUCCCUAGGAGAUAUUUUGAUUGAUUUUUAUUAAAAGUUCGAAUACUAUGAUUAAUCUCAGUCUUUUAACUGAAAUUUUUAACUUUGGUUAAAAGAUUGUUUUUAACUUUUUUAGAUUUUAAUUAAAAAAAAUAAGAACCGUUUCUUAUAUAAAAAAUAUAAAAACUAUUUUUUAGUCAAAAAAUAUAAAAAAAAUUAAAUCAUGAAUUUAAUAAACCAUGGUUAAUCAUGCUCUAACUCAUUUCGUAAACUAUGGUUAAUCACGUGUUGCCACGUGUUGGUCUUCUGUCUCUGUCGAUACCGAAAUGUUAAUUUUUCAAUGGCCGGGAUUCGAACCCAGGUGACGGUACUCACAGCUGUAACUCCUUUACCAUUAGAGCUAGAAGCCCCGAUUUAGACAUAUCUUCUCAGUUGCAAAAAAAAAUAUAUCCUCUAAAAAAGGUUUGGGUUAUAUCAUUUCAUUUUUAUAUUAAUCUGAUUGAUAUAUUCUAAGUUUAUCCUUCUAAGCAUAAUUAUUCGCUGAAAUGAAAGUCGUUCAUUUUAAAAUGAUACAAUAAUAAUACUCUCUCUAUUUUUAAAAUAUACAUAUUAUAGAUUUUUCACAUAUAUUAAAAAAACUUAUUAAAUAUGCAUUGUUUUUUGUGAAUAACAAUUUUUCAUAACUUUUAGUCAAUAGAAAUUUAAUAAACACUAUUAAUUUUUUUGAAACUUACAUUUUUUCAUAAAAUUAUACAUCGAAAAAGUAAAAAAUGUAUCUUUUUGAAACAAUUUUUUUUCCAGAACAUAUAUCUUCUAGGAAGGGAGAGAGUAAGAUAUAAAAUUAUACUAAUGAAAAUACGUAACAUACACUAAUUUAUAAUUAGGAAUGCUUGCAUCGCAUGUCAACUGUUUUCUUAAUUCUCAACAUUAUCGUCUCUCAUAUAGUUUAAUUAUUUAACUAGGUCAGAUUACGUUUUAUUUAGUAGUUGAACCUUUUGUUUUUUAUUAGCAUUAUGUGUAUUUAGUCUAAUAUCGUGCAUGCUUAUAUUUGCAUUUAAUUAAGCUAUAUUGCGUCCAUGAACAUCUAUGAUCAAAUAUAUAGUCAAUCUGGACUAUAUAGAUGCAUGCAAGAUGUAAACCAUAUGGUUAACUUUACCGUGAGUUCACACCUUCUAUUUGUUUUCUUCAUUUCUAUGAAUUCACAUCUUAUUUUUUUUGUUAUUGCGGGUGGACUCCUUAUUUUUAUGCCGAUCAAAUGUAUUCAGUAACAGUCACCAAAUAAACUAAUCUCCAAUUAAGUACUACAGCGUAUAAAGUAAGUUAUUUUUGUUUGCAAACUCAUUCAAUUCACAUAAAGCCACCGGCACAUAAAUUAAGUUGCCUUGGGAAUGCUAAUUGCUAGAGCAUGAAGAGAGGCAUAGAAUCACGAGCUCAAUAUUAAGAAAAUACUGAAGGUGCAGGUUGCCUAAUAACAAAAGUCGAGGCUCGUUCUUGAAUAUACUCCCUCGGUUUCUAAAUGUAGGUAGUUUUAGCAAAAAAAAUUUGUUUCACAAUAUAAAUAAUUUACAUAUUUCAAUGCACUUUUUCAUUUAUUGAAUAUUGUGUGACCAAUGAAAUAAUGUUAAACUUUUUAUAAUUGGUUAAAUUAAUUGAUUAAAUGAUAUAUUUUUUUAGAUAACAACUUUCUAAAUAUUUGUACUAUUAAGUAAAACUACUUAUAAUUAAAAACAGAGGAAGUAUUACUUAUCUAAAGAGUCGCGUUCACAUGGGAUUAAACUAUAAAAUCUGCAUACAUAUCGGAUGAUAAAAGAAGAUCAACUGAAUAAGUCUCACAUUUGAACUAGUUUGGUUUAUAAAUUAUAAUGGUGUCAUCAUCUCAUUUUUUUGUUUAGGUAAGGUUCAAGUUUAUUUCUUUUAAAACCCUAAAUAAUUAAUUGUUGAGAGGAUUGAUGUACAUAUAGUGAAAAAAAAAAUAUAGAAAGUAACUUGUUUGAAUAUUUCAACGUAUGACUAUGAUGAUUCAAUUGCUUUAUUUUACUAGAUGUGCAGUGAGUAAAUCAUUAAAUAAAUAUCACCAGUCAAAUAGUACUAAAAAUUAAUCUAGAUUCGCAAGAAUAUAAAUUUUAUAGAAGAAAAUAAUAUAUGUAGGUAAGUGGUUUUGGCGUGCCUGCUUUUGAGGGCAAAGGCAUGACUCAUAAACGUAGUUCUUUUUCUUUAGUUGAAUUUAAAAGAGUUGUUGAUCUAUUAUUUUCCACACAUCAUCUCAACCCUUCACCAUAAUGAGAAUCUCAAUGUCACACCAACGCAUAAUCGCACAUCUAAAUUUGUAUAUGGAACAAACUUUAUUGUUCUUUUCUCCAAAGGAAUCUCGUUUUCAGCAUCCCUAUAUGCAUAAUAUAUUUUGUAGUAUUCAUAAGGUCUUCUGUCAUAUAUUCUCGAUAGACAUCACGCCAUCAUCUAUGCCAUACAUAGAGUUCUAAAAGUUAUGUACUUGUCAAUAUAUAAAAGUAAACAAUAUGCACGUCCAAUAUAUGUAAUACUAUGUGUUUGGCACGUAUUUAGUAGAUAUCGAUAAACACAAAAUACGUGAAAGCAAUGCAUCGGGAAAGUUGGUUGAGCAAGGAAUUGGAUACGGCUCGAGAUGGCAUCACAUGUAUUGGAAAAAGUAAAGCAAUGUGUCAUUAUAAACCAUAAACCUCAAUAGUAAUAGUGUUUCCGCUUUCUUAUUACUCCCAUCAACAAAUAUUUUGUUAUCUUCACAACAAGUAAAAUGGAUUCAGUUAUCAAGAUUAUAAGUUUCCGCUAUUACAUAUCUCAAACAUCUACUUGACAACCACCACCACAUUAUAUAUUUGACGUUUUUUUGUCAAAAUAUAUGGUUGUAGAAAUUAAAAGCAAGCUGAUAUAUUAAGUUAUAUUAGUGGGGUAUUUUGGUGAAGAAGGGAGGUGGAUAUAUAGGUGAAUCGAGCCCAUUGUCAACAUCUUACUUGUAUUGGAAACACACUACACUAGGACCUUAAUUUCCACUCCUCGCAACAAUUAUAUAUUCCACGAUUUUUAUUGACCGUUGCACUCGAUUUCAUGCACCCAUGUGGACCCACCUAACCUAUCUGAUAAAGUGAUAAUUGAGUAGAACAGCAAAGAUGUAUGAAUUUUCAUGUUUUUACACACGUUACGUGGAUCCAAGGCAAUUGUAGAUCGAGACGAGCCGUAAUUAUCGAGGACUGGUAUAUAUAAUGACAAUCAUGUAAUAAAAUAAAGGAAUAGAUCAGCCCUCUAUUAUCACUCAUGGUUUCAUCACCUAAUCUUGAUGACCUAUCCCCACGUUAACGUUUCAUUUUGGAAUCGGGUGCCACAACUAAUCUCACUUUUCCAUGUUAGAUAUGAAUCAAAAUUUGACUAAACUUGUCAUGUUUAAAUUAAUUAAUUAGCGUGCUAAUUAGCUGCCAAGAUUGAUUAACAUAUGAUGCUGAUGAAAAUAAUAAAUUUUCUGAGUGAAGAUAAGGGAAUCAUCACCCCACCCACCCACUAAACAUAAUGACAGAAACGAGUGAAAUUGAUAUGUCUUUCUCUUUUCUUUUCUGAACACAAAAUGAAUCCAUGUUAUAAAAAUAAAUUAAAAUUCCUAGAUAAAUUUAACAUUAAAUUUCGGCAGAAAAUGAAUGGUUCUUCUUAUUCUCCAAUUCCAUUGCACCACAUUUCUCCAUGGAUUUGGUAUGUCAAAUAAUUUUGAAAAAAUAUAUGUUUAGUAUGAAUAGAUGUGAUAUAACAAAAAAAAAGAAUUGUCAGAAUAAUGCAUCAUUAAAUAAAUGGUACAAAAAGAAAGGUGAGAUCCCUAAUAAUAAUAGAAACGUUGACAGGAAGGUAGAUGUGCGUUUGUAUUAUUUUGGAUUGUCCCUCUCUUCUCUUCCUCUAUAAUUACACUAACUUGUCGAAUUCAUCACACUUCCCCAACCAAACUUGUUUGCUCCAUAUAUAAUUAUUAUCAAUUUAUUGAUAUAUGCAGGCAGAGACAUGUGUGUGUCUGUCUAGCAUAUAUAGUAGUAGCUCACAUAAAUUAUAUCGAUUGAUUCCGUGGGAUUAUGACCUAUGUUAGAUUGUGACAUUUGAGGUUUUUUGGCACUCUGCGUUAUGUACGCAUCAUAGACUGCGACAUUUUUUGUGUGUAUGCAUAUAUGAUGAUGAUUAAUGAUUUAUGCCAAUUUGGGAACUCUAGUAAGUAUGCUUUUAGUGGUCCAUCCCAUUUUCAAAUCUUAUCUUGUCUUUUCUUUUUUGCUAAGAAUGUAAAUUUCAUUUUACAAAAUGAAAGUUGAGGUUACAAAAGGUUAUACACAAAAAAAAAAAAACUUCUACACUUGGUUCCACGGCCAAAAAAAUGUAAAAAAAAAACAUGAAAGUAAAGAUAAUCGCUAGAAGUGAAAAAAAUCUUAUCUUUUCAAUAAUUCCAUAUCUCAACAAGCUAGCCUUUAAUCCAAACUAAUGAAGGUAGCUUGAUUUGUUUAUAUUUGUAAAAUAACUAAAAUAACAAAGCCUGAAUUUAUAAGUUUCGGACUGUUCAUGAGCUGAUAUGGUUCUUCGAAACAAGCUCAUUUGAACUUAGGCCCAACUAAAGUCUUACACUGUAAAUAAGUAAACAAGCCCAUGACACAACCUUACAGUUUUACAAACAUUAUUUUUUUUUACAAACAUGCAUACUCUAUUUUUUUUUUCUUUAGAAAAUGUAACAUUCCUCAGUAUUUUAAAUGUUCAUUCCUCAGUACUUUUACAAACGUAAGGUUGUGUAAAAAAUUCCUCAGUUUUCUUACAAACGUAAGGUUGUGUAAAAAAAUAAUGUUUGUAAGAAUACUGAGGAAUCUUACACUGUAAAUAAGUAAACAAGCCCAUGACACAACCUUACAGUUUUACAAACAUUCAUCCACAGAAAAACGUAACACGAUUUUUUUUGUAUACAUUCUCACCUAUGUAAAACUAUAAUGAAAUUGACCUUAAAACGAGAAUUACUAUUCAAUUAAAUGUUCAAAAAUGCGUUAGCGGGUAAUGGUUUAUAACAUUAACUAGAUUUUGACCCGCGGUUAAGAAACGCAUAUAUUUUUUUGGUGACCGUAAACUCAAAUAUUAAAUGAAUUUAUGUUUAUUAUUAAAUAUCAAAAAUAUUUAAAAGCUGUUCUAUUAUUAUUAUUUCAGUCCGGUACAAUGUUUUCAUUGAGUUUUCAUAUCCGAAUCAGACUUGUGGUCGAACCGUAAGAUCUAGUAACUCAUAUAUAGUGGGACAGUAAUAAAUAUAGUAAAAGUAUCUGAAAAUUUAAAAGACCGUUAUUAGCCCACAGAGAAAAAUAUAAUUUGUUUUUUAUUUUAUAAAUUUUUGAUAUAUUAAUAUAUAUUUGACUUGUAUAAGAAAUUUCUUUUAACAAAUAUUUUUAAGUUUAUUUAUAAAUAUAUUAAUUAUCAAUCUACCAAAAUAGUGAAGCAAGUAUUAUUUUUUUUUCCUUUUUUAAUUUUCUAUCAAACUAUUAUCAAUUAUUUUUUUUUUAAAAAAAAUCAGUUUGUGACAGACAUUUUAUUAUUAGAAAUCCAUACAAUUUAAAUAAUGUUACAUUUAUAUGUAUUUAUGUAUAAAAUGGUCUUCAUAAUUUGGGAUUUUGUAAAAAAAUGGUCUAAAGUUAAUUUGGUUAAUUUUUUUUUCUGUAACAAAAGUUAAUUGGAUUUAUAAUUUACUUUUCUGAAUGGGUUGUAUCAGUUAAAUUAUCUUUUUUAAGUUAAACGCCCAAAAACCAAUUAAUAAUAUUUAUUUUGCUAAUAAUAAAGUGAGAUUAAAUAGAGAUAACAUAUAAUAUAUAAGAAGGACAAAAAAA